GAUGAACGCUGGCGGCGUGCUUAACACACGCAAGUCGAACGAAGCACUUUAACUUGAUUCUUCGGAUGAAGGUUUUUGUGACUGAGUGGCGGACGGGUGAGUAACGCGUGGGUAACCUGCCUCAUACAGGGGGAUAACAGUUAGAAAUGACUGCUAAUACCGCAUAAGACCACGGAGCCGCAUGGCUCAGUGGGAAAAACUCCGGUGGUAUGAGAUGGACCCGCGUCUGAUUAGGUAGUUGGUGGGGUAACGGCCUACCAAGCCAACGAUCAGUAGCCGACCUGGGAGGGUGACCGGCCACAUUGGGACUGAGACACGGCCCAAACUCCUACGGGAGGCAGCAGUGGGGAAUAUUGCACAGUGGGGGAAACCCUGAUGCAGCGACGCCGCGUGAGCGAAGAAGUAUUUCGGUAUGUAAAGCUCUAUCAGCAGGGAAGAAAAUGACGGUACCUGACUAAGAAGCACCGGCUAAAUACGUGCCAGCAGCCGCCGUAA
rnacentral:rRNA from 1 species